GAUGAACGCUAGCGAUAGGCUUAACACAUGCAAGUCGAGGGGCAGUAUGGUCUUAGCUUGCUAAGACUGAUGGCGACCGGCGCACGGGUGCGUAACGCGUAUGCAACUUGCCUCACAGAGGGGGAUAACCCGUCGAAAGACGGACUAAUACUGCGUACACUUGGAGGGAGGCAUCUCCCAUCAAGGAAAAGAAAUUCGCUGUGAGAUAGGCAUGCGUCCCAUUAGCUAGUUGGUGAGGUAACGGCUCACCGAGGCAACGAUGGGUAGGGGAACUGAGAGGUUGAACCCCCACACUGGUACUGAGACACGGACCAGACUCCUACGGGAGGCAGCAGUGAGGAAUAUUGGUCAAUGGGCGAGAGCCUGAACCAGCCAAGUCGCGUGAAGGAUGACUGUCUUAUGGAUUGUAAACUUCUUUUGUAGGGGAAUAAAGAACGGUACGUGUACCGUAGUGAAUGUACCCUACGAAUAAGCAUCGGCUAACUCCGUGCCAGCAGCCGCUGUAA
rnacentral:rRNA from 1 species